UCCGUCAAGGCCGGGCUCCAGUUCCCUGUCGGCCGCAUCGGGCGCUACCUCAAGAAGGGCCGGUACGCCAAGCGCGUCGGCACGGGCGCCCCCGUCUACCUCGCCGCCGUCCUCGAGUACCUCGCCGCGGAGCUGCUGGAGCUCGCCGGGAACGCCGCCAAGGACAACAAGAAGUCCCGCAUCGUGCCCAGGCACCUGCUGCUCGCCGUGAGGAAUGACC
rnacentral:lncRNA from 1 species